rnacentral:rRNA from 1 species
CCUACGGGCGACAGCAGUAGGGAAUCUUUCACAAUGGGCGAAAGCCUGAUGGAGCAACGCCGCGUGCAGGAUGAAGGCCUUCGGGUUGUAAACUGCUUUUAUAAGCGAGAAAUAUGAUGGUAACUUAUGAAUAAGUAUCGGCUAACUACGUGCCAGCAGCCGCGGUCAUACGUAGGAUCCGAGCAUUAUCCGGAGUGACUGUGUGUAAAGAGUUGCGUAGGUGGCAUAAUAAGUAGCUAGGGAAAUCUGGUGGCUCAACCAUUCAGACUAUUAGCUAAACUGUUAAGCUCGAGACCGUUAGGGGUAACUGGAAUUUCUAGUGUAGGAGUGAAAUCCGUAGAUAUUAGAAGGAACACCGAUAGCGUAGGCAGGUUGCUGGGACGGUUCUGACACUAAGGCACGAAAGCGUAGGGAGCAAACGGGAUUAGAUACCCGUGUAGUC